rnacentral:rRNA from 1 species
UACGUAGGGGGCAAGCGUUGUCCGGAUUUAUUGGGCGUAAAGAGCGUGUAGGCGGCCAGGUAGGUCAGCUGUGAAAACUCGAGGCUCAACCUCGAGACGCCGAUGGAAACCAUCUGACUAGAGUCCGGAAGAGGAGAGUGGAAUUCCUGGUGUAGCGGUGAAAUGCGCAGAUAUCAGGAAGAACACCCGUGGCUAAGGCGGCUCUCUAGUACGUGACUGACGCUGAGACGCGAAAGCGUGGGGAGCGAACAGG